UACGAAGGGGGCUAGCGUUGUUCGGAAUUACUGGGCGUAAAGGGCGCGUAGGCGGCGUGUCAAGUCAGGCGUGAAAUCCCCGGGCUCAACCCGGGAACUGCGUCCGAUACUGGAAGGCUUGAAUCCGGGAGAGGGAUGCGGAAUUCCAGGUGUAGCGGUGAAAUGCGUAGAUAUCUGGAGGAACACCGGUGGCGAAGGCGGCAUCCUGGACCGGCAUUGACGCUGAGGCGCGAAAGCCAGGGGAGCAAACGGG
rnacentral:rRNA from 1 species